rnacentral:rRNA from 1 species
UUAUUCAUAAACCACUGUAUGUCAAAAUAGAAUGUAAAAUCAAAUUUCUUCGCCCUAAAAAAGCGUCGGUAAACUUAUAACAACUUUCAACAACGGAUCUCUUGGCUCUCGCAUCGAUGAAGAACGCAGCGAAAUGCGAUAAGUAAUGUGAAUUGCAGAUUUUCAGUGAAUCAUCGAAUCUUUGAACGCACCUUGCGCUCCUUGGUAUUCCGAGGAGCAUGCCUGUUUGAGUGUCAUUAAAUCAUCAACCCCGAAUCGAUUCGCUUCGAACCUCGGAGGCUUGGACUUGGAGCGUGCUGGCCCACACCCGGGUCGGCUCCUCUUUAAAUGCAUUAGCGGAAAAGUUACCUUUGGUCUAUUUCGGUCAUCAGCGUGAUAAUCGUGUUGCGCUGUUUUCCUCGAUCGAAGGGUUCCGCUUACAAUGGUCUACGGACAAACCUUUAAUAACAACCAAUUUGACCUCAAAUCAGGUAGGACUACCCGCUGAACUUAAGCAUAUCAAUAAGCGGAGGA